UAGCCGUUGCAGGAUAUCAUGGUCGUGCUGAUGAUUGUGUGGUGGAGUAGAUCUACCUGAUGCUUGACCUAGAACUGAUGGGCAAAGGCGUAGCGAAGCAUUCGUUAUUCACAUUCUGCUUCGGUCGUCACGUCAGUAAAGUAGACAUCGUUGUUGUCGGACCAACAUACCAAGCCCUACUGACCUGGCUACUACCAGGCAGUAAGCAUGGUGGGCCGUGUGCUCUUGCUCCUUCUGCUCUGUACCGUCAGCACAAGCAAUGUGAAUGCCUUCCUAUUCCCGUUCAAGCCACAGAUCCCAGGUGAUGAGCACAAUGAGCACGGAGGGCAGCAACAGCAGUCCCAAAGCGCCAACACAGUGACAUCGGCUGCUACAUCGCCUGCUACACCGACUGCUACAUUAGCUGCUGCAACGGCUGCUACAUUAGCUGCUACAUCGCCUGCUACAUCAUUUUCUUUUCAAUUCUCUACGCACCGUGGCGCUCCUGACACAGCAGAGCACUGUAGCAGUGUGUCUUUUGAGUGCAGAAUUAUCAUUCACAAUUUGCGGCCAGGAAUUCUAUAUCACUGGGGACGCAGCAAGUUGCCUGACCCCAUAGCAGAUAAGACUGAAAUCCUGAACGCAACUAAGCAACUCGUACCAGUGGGAGGAAAAAGAGACAAUAACUGUCGUUUGGAAUGUGGUCUUUCCCUGGUAGUAUCACCACAUCUACUGAAUCCUCUCGACUUCACCUAUGCAUA